GACGAACGCUGGCGGCGUGCUUAACACAUGCAAGUCGAACGGUAAGGCUCCAGCUUGCUGGGGUACACGAGUGGCGAACGGGUGAGUAACACGUGGGUGACCUGCCCUGCACUUCGGGAUAAGCCUGGGAAACUGGGUCUAAUACCGGAUAGGACCGCACCGUGAGGGUGUGGUGGAAAGUUUUUUCGGUGUGGGAUGGGCCCGCGGCCUAUCAGCUUGUUGGUGGGGUAAUGGCCUACCAAGGCGGCGACGGGUAGCCGGCCUGAGAGGGUGGACGGCCACAUUGGGACUGAGACACGGCCCAGACUCCUACGGGAGGCAGCAGUGGGGAAUAUUGCACAAUGGGCGGAAGCCUGAUGCAGCGACGCCGCGUGGGGGAUGACGGCCUUCGGGUUGUAAACUCCUUUCACCAUCGACGAAGGGUUUCUGACGGUAGAUGGAGAAGAAGCACCGGCUAACUACGCGCCAGCAGCCGCGGUAAUACGUAGGGUGCGAGCGUUGUCCGGAAUUACUGGGCGUAAAGAGCUCGUAGGUGGUUUGUCGCGUCGUCUGUGAAAUUCCGGGGCUUAACUCCGGGCGUGCAGGCGAUACGGGCAUAACUUGAGUACUGUAGGGGAGACUGGAAUUCCUGGUGUAGCGGUGAAAUGCGCAGAUAUCAGGAGGAACACCGGUGGCGAAGGCGGGUCUCUGGGCAGUAACUGACGCUGAGGAGCGAAAGCAUGGGGAGCGAACAGGAUUAGAUACCCUGGUAGUCCAUGCCGUAAACGGUGGGCGCUAGGUGUGGGUUUCCUUCCACGGGAUCCGUGCCGUAGCUAACGCAUUAAGCGCCCCGCCUGGGGAGUACGGCCGCAAGGCUAAAACUCAAAGGAAUUGACGGGGGCCCGCACAAGCGGCGGAGCAUGUGGAUUAAUUCGAUGCAACGCGAAGAACCUUACCUGGGCUUGACAUAUACAGGAUCGCGCCAGAGAUGGUGUUUCCCUUGUGGCUUGUAUACAGGUGGUGCAUGGUUGUCGUCAGCUCGUGUCGUGAGAUGUUGGGUUAAGUCCCGCAACGAGCGCAACCCUUGUCUUAUGUUGCCAGCACGUUGUGGUGGGGACUCGUAAGAAACUGCCGGGGUUAACUCGGAGGAAGGUGGGGAUGACGUCAAAUCAUCAUGCCCCUUAUGCCCAGGGCUUCACACAUGCUACAAUGGUCGGUACAGUGGGUUGCCAGUCCGUGAGGGCGAGCUAAUCCCGCAAAGCCGGUCUCAGUUCGGAUCGGGGUCUGCAACUCGACCCCGUGAAGUCGGAGUCGCUAGUAAUCGCAGAUCAGCAACGCUGCGGUGAAUACGUUCCCGGGCCU
rnacentral:rRNA from 1 species